CCAGAUGGCCGGAUAACCGCCUUUGCUUUGCAGGGGAGGAAAGUCCGGGCUCCAGGGGAAGAUGGUGCCGGAUAACGUCCGGCGAGAGUGAUCUUAGGGAAAGUGCCACAGAGAACGGACCGCCGGCCAGCAAUGGGCGGUAAGGGUGAAAAGGUGCGGUAAGAGCGCACCGCAUUUCCGGUAACGGAAAUGGCACGGCAAACCCCACCAGGAGCAAGACCGAAUAGGGACCGCAUAGCGCGGUUGUAUCCGCAAGGAUAUACACGCGCGCAGCUUCUCCGCUGGCGGUUCGGGUUGGUCGCGCGAGGUGCCCGGUAACGGGCAUCCCAGAUGAAUGGUUAUCCGUUGCAAGGACUGCGACGACAGAACCCGGCUUACAGGCCAUCUGGCACU
rnacentral:RNase_P_RNA from 1 species